rnacentral:tRNA from 1 species
AUUUGGGUAGCUUAAACUAAAGCAAAUCUCUGAAGAAGAUAAGAUAGAAUCUCUCCCAAAUA